GCCCAAGCAGCUCGUCUCCAGGCCGGUUUGCCUCCACGCCCCAGCCGCCCGAGGCCCAGCCUCGCGUUGACCUGCCCCAAGCCCCUCCACCGAAUGGGCUCGGCCCACUAGGUGAGCUGCCACUCAACCUUAUUUCGCGCCCGUGCAAUGUAUAACUAUUGCGCGCUAGAAGAUUCAGCCCGUUAGAGUUUUUUUAGAUUUGCGAUUUAUUUAAUUUCAAAAAGAGCAUAUUUUCAAACCCCCAUAAUUUCUAUUCCAUGCGUCGGAUUCUGACAAGUUAUAUAUGUAACUUGGCUAGAAUUUCGCGUAGUUUAAGAUUUUCCAACACUCAUGCAUAUUUAAAACUGUUUAGCAUGCUAUUUGCAUCGGUUUGCAUGUUGACGUGUUAGAAACGGUUUAGGUCGUAGUUAAUUAACCGUAGCUCCGUUGGAGGUGAACCAUAUAUGUAAAUGAACUAGAACGACGAGUAGAAUCACGUGAACCACUUUUUUACCAUUUAAUAAACAUAAAAUUUGAUUAGGACAAAUCUAGACAGAAUUAGAAUGUAACGCGUGGGGUCAUUUCGGAGAUGCUAUACGUCGUUUCCGGCCUAAUUUAAAAUGCCUAUAUAGGUAGUCUAAUUUGUGCUUCACUCCUUGCCAUGUUAACAACAUUUUAAUAUUGCCGUGUAAAUAAGCGGGAUUGAACUAAAUAAUAAACAUGGAGUUUCGUCAAUUUGCACUUAAUGUGUAGCUUUUGACUGUGUGAUUUGCCAUGCCAUGCCUUGCAUAUUUGAAACUGAUCAUGCAUCAUAUGUGUUGUGCAUCAUGUCGUGCAUGUACCGUGGUGAAUAUCGUGUGUUGAUGCUUGUUUCCGUUUUGCUUCGCCUCGAUAGAGUUCCGCAAGCGUGGUGGAAUGUGAGGACCCGUUCGACUAUGUCGGCUCGUAUGCUUCACGUAUUCGUUCUUCUUCCAAGCGGGAUCUCAGGGAAGAUGAACAUUUCCCUAGAUACCAUUACUAUCAUUACCAUGCUAGUUGUUUCGUUUCUAUUGUUAUGUCUCGCUGCCUACCACCUGUUAAAUAUCAGCCUCCCAACAUUGCCAUGAAAACCUUCAACCUGUCUAUAACCUAGCAAACUACUGAUUGACUAUGUUACCGCUUGCUUAACCAUGUGUUAGUGUUGCUAGUUGCAGGUGUAGUUGCUGCCAUGUGAUAACAUGGGUUCUUUGUUAUAUCACCAUAUUAAAUGCUAUUUAAUUUAAUGCACCUAUAUACUUGGUAAAAGGUUGAAGGCUCAACCUUUCUAGCCUGGUGUUUUGUUCCACCUUUGCCGCCUUAGUUUAGGCUACCGGUAUUAUGUUCCAUAAAUGAGCGCUCCUAACAUGCUUGGGGUUGUUAUGGGGACCCUCUAGAUUCUCGUUUAGGGAUAAAGCUCAUCUGGCAAGGCCCAACAUUGGUACUAUAUUUGCCGAACAUAAUAAUUCUGUUAAUACUGAAAAACAUAGGGCGUCAUGAACCCGAGGAGUAAUUCAACAUAAUACAUGGGGGCCAGUGCUGAUUGUGUUGGUCCCAAAUGGGCUGCCUGCGGGGCCACCACGAGGAAACUCAAGGUUUGGUUUUACUUGUAGCUAGUCCCAUCCGGUCGUGUCGUGAGAACGAGAUAUGCGACUCCUAUCAGGUUCGUCGACAUGUCGGGCAACCUUGCUGGAUUUGUUUUACCUUUCUCUAGCAUCUUGUGCGAGGGAUUUUGAGGAUGCUUUGGUUUAUCUCGAGGUUGAGGUUUCCCAAUAGGAACCCGAGGAGAUCACGGGUUUCCUUGAUCAAGGUAAUUCCAUCACAGUGUGUGGUAGUUUGAUGGACUAGUUGGAGAACCCCUGCAGGGUCAAAUCUUUCGGAAAGUUGUGCCCGCGGUUAUGUGGCAACUUGGAAACUUUGUUUAACAUACGGUUCUAGAUAAAUUAAAGUAAGCUUAAUUAAAACCUGCUGACUGAGUGCGUAACCGUGUCUGUCUCUUUCGUGAGCCCCUUCUCCGAUCGAGGACACGGUGAGUAGGUGUUCAAGAUCAUUCAUUUGAUCAUUAUUAGUUCUCGUCCGUUAUGCGUAGAUCACCCCUCUUAUUCUUGUACUCGUAAGUUAGCCACCUAAAAUGAAUUCUUAGUCGCUUGAUGCAGCCUCACCACUUAACCAUACCUCACCCAUUAAGAUUUGCUAGUCUUGAUACCUUUGGAAAUGAGAUUGCCGAGUUCCUGUGGCUCACAGAUUACUACAACACCAGUUGCAGGUACAGGUAAAGAGUUACUUGACGUGAGCGUGCUGAUUGUGCUAUUUGGAGUCCUUCUUCUUCAUCAUCGAUCUAGGAUGGGUUCCAGGCCGACAGCCUAGGAUAACAAGGAUGGACGUUGUUCUUUUAUCGUUUGUUUUCGUCCGUAGUCGGACCCUGCUCUUCUUCAUGAUGAUUGUAUGUAUUGUACUAAUGUGACUCUGAUGUAGCUUGUGGCGAGUGUAAGCCAACUCCUUACACUCAUCUUUUCAGUACAUGUACUUGUAACGAUAUCUAUUCUUGCAAAACGACGAGAUGCAUUUCUAUCCCUAUCGAGGCCCUCGCGCCAAAAUAAGGAUAGGACCGCAUAUUGGGCGUGACAAGUUGGUAUCAGAGCAGCAUCGACCUAGGACCCCCCUUGAUUGAUCGAACUUGGCCGAGUCGAGUCUAGUAAAAAUCUGCUUUGAGUCUAGUUAUAUAUUGGAGAGUAGGAUUCUUUUUUUCUCCUCUUCUAUGCUCUGGUGAGGAAUCUUGAUUUAAUAAUUUCAAUUCUACUC
rnacentral:lncRNA from 1 species